rnacentral:rRNA from 1 species
UACGGAGGGAGCUAGCGUUGUUCGGAAUUACUGGGCGUAAAGCGCACGUAGGCGGCUUUGUAAGUUAGAGGUGAAAGCCCGGGGCUCAACCCCGGAAUUGCCUUUAAGACUGCAUCGCUUGAAUCCGGGAGAGGUGAGUGGAAUUCCGAGUGUAGAGGUGAAAUUCGUAGAUAUUCGGAAGAACACCAGUGGCGAAGGCGGCUCACUGGACCGGUAUUGACACUGAGGUGCGAAAGCGUGGGGAGCAAACAGG